rnacentral:rRNA from 1 species
GAUGAACGCUGGCGGCGUGCUUAACACAUGCAAGUCGAACGGUGAACCCGGAACUUGCUCUGUGGGAUCAGUGGCGAACGGGUGAGUAACACGUGAGCAACCUGCCCCUGACUCUGGGAUAAGCGCUGGAAACGGCGUCUAAUACUGGAUAUGUGACGUGACCGCAUGGUCUGCGUUUGGAAAGAUUUUUCGGUUGGGGAUGGGCUCGCGGGCUAUCAGCUUGUUGGUGAGUUAAUGGCUGACCAAGGCGUCGAGGGGUAGCCGGCCUGAGAGGGUGACCGGCCACACUGGGACUGAGACACGGACCAGACUCCUACGGGAGGCAGUAGUGGGGAAUAUUGCACAACGGGGGCAAGCCUGAUGCAGCAACGCCGCGUGAGGGAUGACGGCCUUCGGGUUGUAAACCUCUUUUAGCAGGGAAGAAGCGAAAGUGACGGUACCUGCAGAAAAAGCGCCGGCUAACUACGUG